rnacentral:rRNA from 1 species
GGUUAAGCGACUAAGCGUACACGGUGGAUGCCCUGGCAGUCAGAGGCGAUGAAGGACGUGCUAAUCUGCGAUAAGCGUCGGUAAGGUGAUAUGAACCGUUAUAACCGGCGAUUUCCGAAUGGGGAAACCCAGUGUGUUUCGACACACUAUCAUUAACUGAAUCCAUAGGUUAAUGAGGCGAACCGGGGGAACUGAAACAUCUAAGUACCCCGAGGAAAAGAAAUCAACCGAGAUUCCCCCAGUAGCGGCGAGCGAACGGGGAGCAGCCCAGAGCCUGAAUCAGUGUGUGUGUUAGUGGAAGCGUCUGGAAAGGCGCGCGAUACAGGGUGACAGCCCCGUACACAAAAAUGCACAUGCUGUGAGCUCGAUGAGUAGGGCGGGACACGUGGUAUCCUGUCUGAAUAUGGGGGGACCAUCCUCCAAGGCUAAAUACUCCUGACUGACCGAUAGUGAACCAGUACCGUGAGGGAAAGGCGAAAAGAACCCCGGCGAGGGGAGUGAAAAAGAACCUGAAACCGUGUACGUACAAGCAGUGGGAGCACGCUUAGGCGUGUGACUGCGUACCUUUUGUAUAAUGGGUCAGCGACUUAUAUUCUGUAGCAAGGUUAACCGAAUAGGGGAGCCGAAGGGAAACCGAGUCUUAACUGGGCGUUAAGUUGCAGGGUAUAGACCCGAAACCCGGUGAUCUAGCCAUGGGCAGGUUGAAGGUUGGGUAACACUAACUGGAGGACCGAACCGACUAAUGUUGAAAAAUUAGCGGAUGACUUGUGGCUGGGGGUGAAAGGCCAAUCAAACCGGGAGAUAGCUGGUUCUCCCCGAAAGCUAUUUAGGUAGCGCCUCGUGAAUUCAUCUCCGGGGGUAGAGCACUGUUUCGGCAAGGGGGUCAUCCCGACUUACCAACCCGAUGCAAACUGCGAAUACCGGAGAAUGUUAUCACGGGAGACACACGGCGGGUGCUAACGUCCGUCGUGAAGAGGGAAACAACCCAGACCGCCAGCUAAGGUCCCAAAGUCAUGGUUAAGUGGGAAACGAUGUGGGAAGGCCCAGACAGCCAGGAUGUUGGCUUAGAAGCAGCCAUCAUUUAAAGAAAGCGUAAUAGCUCACUGGUCGAGUCGGCCUGCGCGGAAGAUGUAACGGGGCUAAACCAUGCACCGAAGCUGCGGCAGCGACACUAUGUGUUGUUGGGUAGGGGAGCGUUCUGUAAGCCUGUGAAGGUGUACUGUGAGGUAUGCUGGAGGUAUCAGAAGUGCGAAUGCUGACAUAAGUAACGAUAAAGCGGGUGAAAAGCCCGCUCGCCGGAAGACCAAGGGUUCCUGUCCAACGUUAAUCGGGGCAGGGUGAGUCGACCCCUAAGGCGAGGCCGAAAGGCGUAGUCGAUGGGAAACAGGUUAAUAUUCCUGUACUUGGUGUUACUGCGAAGGGGGGACGGAGAAGGCUAUGUUGGCCGGGCGACGGUUGUCCCGGUUUAAGCGUGUAGGCUGGUUUUCCAGGCAAAUCCGGAAAAUCAAGGCUGAGGCGUGAUGACGAGGCACUACGGUGCUGAAGCAACAAAUGCCCUGCUUCCAGGAAAAGCCUCUAAGCAUCAGGUAACAUCAAAUCGUACCCCAAACCGACACAGGUGGUCAGGUAGAGAAUACCAAGGCGCUUGAGAGAACUCGGGUGAAGGAACUAGGCAAAAUGGUGCCGUAACUUCGGGAGAAGGCACGCUGAUAUGUAGGUGAAGUCCCUCGCGGAUGGAGCUGAAAUCAGUCGAAGAUACCAGCUGGCUGCAACUGUUUAUUAAAAACACAGCACUGUGCAAACACGAAAGUGGACGUAUACGGUGUGACGCCUGCCCGGUGCCGGAAGGUUAAUUGAUGGGGUUAGCGCAAGCGAAGCUCUUGAUCGAAGCCCCGGUAAACGGCGGCCGUAACUAUAACGGUCCUAAGGUAGCGAAAUUCCUUGUCGGGUAAGUUCCGACCUGCACGAAUGGCGUAAUGAUGGCCAGGCUGUCUCCACCCGAGACUCAGUGAAAUUGAACUCGCUGUGAAGAUGCAGUGUACCCGCGGCAAGACGGAAAGACCCCGUGAACCUUUACUAUAGCUUGACACUGAACAUUGAGCCUUGAUGUGUAGGAUAGGUGGGAGGCUUUGAAGUGUGGACGCCAGUCUGCAUGGAGCCGACCUUGAAAUACCACCCUUUAAUGUUUGAUGUUCUAACGUUGACCCGUGAUCCGGGUUGCGGACAGUGUCUGGUGGGUAGUUUGACUGGGGCGGUCUCCUCCUAAAGAGUAACGGAGGAGCACGAAGGUUGGCUAAUCCUGGUCGGACAUCAGGAGGUUAGUGCAAUGGCAUAAGCCAGCUUGACUGCGAGCGUGACGGCGCGAGCAGGUGCGAAAGCAGGUCAUAGUGAUCCGGUGGUUCUGAAUGGAAGGGCCAUCGCUCAACGGAUAAAAGGUACUCCGGGGAUAACAGGCUGAUACCGCCCAAGAGUUCAUAUCGACGGCGGUGUUUGGCACCUCGAUGUCGGCUCAUCACAUCCUGGGGCUGAAGUAGGUCCCAAGGGUAUGGCUGUUCGCCAUUUAAAGUGGUACGCGAGCUGGGUUUAGAACGUCGUGAGACAGUUCGGUCCCUAUCUGCCGUGGGCGCUGGAGAACUGAGGGGGGCUGCUCCUAGUACGAGAGGACCGGAGUGGACGCAUCACUGGUGUUCGGGUUGUCAUGCCAAUGGCACUGCCCGGUAGCUAAAUGCGGAAGAGAUAAGUGCUGAAAGCAUCUAAGCACGAAACUUGCCCCGAGAUGAGUUCUCCCUGACUCCUUGAGAGUCCUGAAGGAACGUUGAAGACGACGACGUUGAUAGGCCGGGUGUGUAAGCGCAGCGAUGCGUUGAGCUAACCGGUACUAAUGAACCGUGAGGCUUAACCUU